ACCCAGCUGAUUCAAUCUGUAUUAAAUUUUCCAUUUUUGUUUUGUUACUAAUUCUUGAUUUCAAAAUUAAGUGAAAUUUUGAAAGCUAUUGUAUUUAAAUGAUACUGGACUAUCUAAAUGCUUAUUCGUAUGGUGUGCUAUUACACCACUGUCCCAGGCUAGGAGAGGAUUGAGCGCACACAAACUUGUUCCCUCCACAUUCUCAAUGUGCCUGUCCAAAGUCAGGAGCCUGUCGUUCAGUGGUUGUUGUUGGUUCAUUUCUGCCAUAUUGUUCUUCGUAAAUUGUAAUACAUUAGACCGUUAUCUUUUUUAAUUAAAUUGUUUCAUAUAUUUUUUUAUGUCGGGGCC
rnacentral:lncRNA from 1 species